rnacentral:rRNA from 1 species
CCUACGGGAGGCUGCAGUGAGGAAUAUUGGUCAAUGGACGAGAGUCUGAACCAGCCAAGUAGCGUGAAGGAUGACUGCCCUAUGGGUUGUAAACUUCUUUUAUAAAGGAAUAAAACGAGGCACGUGUGCCUUUUUGCAUGUACUUUAUGAAUAAGGAUCGGCUAACUCCGUGCCAGCAGCCGCGGUAAUACGGAGGAUCCGAGCGUUAUCCGGAUUUAUUGGGUUUAAAGGGAGCGUAGAUGGGUUGAUAAGUCAGUUGUGAAAGUUUGCGGCUCAACCGUAAAAUUGCAAUUGAUACUGGCAGUCUUGAGUACAGUUGAGGUAAGCGGAAUUCGUGGUGUAGCGGUGAAAGGCUUAGAUAUCACGAAGAACCCCGAUUGCGAAGGCAGCUUACUAAACUGUGACUGACAUUGAUGCUCGAAAGUGGGGGUAUCAAACAGGAUUAGAUACCCGAGUAGUC